AAACAAGAAGCAAUACUUGCAAUCAGUUUCGACCUGAUCAAUUGAUGUGUCUUAACCCAUCCUUGUUUU
rnacentral:tRNA from 1 species